rnacentral:pre_miRNA from 14 species
CAAAUACUCCCUCCGUCCCAAAAUUCUUGUCAUAGAUUUGUCUAAAUACGGAUGUAUCUAGUCAUGUUUUAGUGUUAGACACAUUCAUAUCUAAACAAAUCUAAGACNAGAAUUUUGGGACGGAGGGAGUAUU